rnacentral:lncRNA from 1 species
CGUGUUUCUCAUCAUUUAGAGUGUUGGAUCCGCCACGUCAAUUAAUGAGGCGUGAUCCAAUGCUCCUAGUUUUUUUUUAAUUCUUUUUAUUUUAUUAUUUUAAAUUUCUUUUUCUUUAAAAAUUCAUAGUAAUUUCAUUUUUUAUCCAAAAUAAUUUCUAAAAUUCUCUUUUAUUUUUCUUCAUCCGAUUUUUAUUUUUU